rnacentral:rRNA from 1 species
AUGGGAGUUAAAAUAGUGCCCCAGCAGUUUAACUGGAUUUGGAAUAGUUCGUGCCAGCCCAAACACAAGGUGUUCUUCUGGAGGUUACUUCAUGAUAGGCUUAAUACCAGGAACCUUCUGCGCAGGAAAACAUUUCAUUUGGAAAGCUACAACUGUGCUGUCCAUAACUGUCCUCAGGAGGAAACAUUGCAGCAUCUCUUUUGGACUUGUCCUUUUGCCUCCCAGUGCUGGGAUCUAUUAUGCCCUACAAGACAAGCUCAUGUUUCUGUGCUUGAAGCUUUUGAUGACCUCAGACAAAAAUUACAUGUACCUUUCUUCAUGGAAAUCAUCAUCCUAGCUUCUUGGGCCAUCUGGAUUUCAAGAAAUAAUCUCAUCUUUCAAGCAAUUCAACCUUCAGUUCAGAGGUGGAAAGCAAUCUUCCUUGAAGAGAUUAACUUGCUCAGAUUCAGGAUUAAAAAGAGUUAUGCUAGGGCUUUCUGUGAUUGGCUUGACCAUCUUGUUCUGUAA